rnacentral:rRNA from 1 species
AGGGGACCCAGCAAUGGGUAACCGGCGAACGGGUGCGUAACACGUGAGCAAUCUACCUUUUUGUGGGGGAUAGCCGGCCCAACGGCCGGGUAAUACCGCAUACGAUCUUCGGGAGGCAUUUCCUGAAGAUGAAGCCUACGGGGCAGAAAGAGGAGCUCGCGGCCUAUCAGCUAGUUGGCGGGGUAAUGGCUCACCAAGGCAAUGACGGGUAGCUGGUCUGAGAGGAUGGCCAGCCACAUUGGGACUGAGAUACGGCCCAGACUCCUACGGGAGGCAGCAGUGGGGAAUAUUGCGCAAUGGUCUAACGACUGACGCAGCGACGCCGCGUGAGGGAUGAAGCUCCUCGGAGUGUAAACCUCUGUUGCCCGGGACGAACAGCUGAAUUCAUUCAGCCUGACGGUACCGGGUGAGGAAGCACCGGCUAACUCCGUGCCAGCAGCCGCGGUAAUACGGGGGGUGCGAGCGUUGUCCGGAAUCACUGGGCGUAAAGGGCGCGUAGGUGGCCUGAUAAGGGUGUGGUGAAAGUCCGGGGCUUAACCCCGGAUCUGCCGUGCCGACUGUUAGGCUAGAGUGCUGUAGGGGCAGGCGGAAUUCCGGGUGUAGCGGUGGAAUGCGUAGAGAUCCGGAGGAAGACCGGUGGCGAAGGCGGCCUGCUGGGCAGAUACUGACACUGAGGCGCGACAGCGUGGGGAGCAAACAGGAUUAGAUACCCUGGUAGUCCACGCCGUAAACGAUGGGUACUAGGUGCCUGGGGGAGCGACCCCCUGGGUGCCGGCGCUAACGCAGGAAGUACCCCGCCUGGGGAGUACGACCGCAAGGUUGAAACUCAAAGGAAUUGACGGGGGCCCGCACAAGCGGUGGAGCAUGUGGUUUAAUUCGACGCAACGCGAAGAACCUUACCUAGGCUUGACAUGCAUGGGAAACUCCUCAGAAACGAGGAGCCUCCUUCGGGAUCCAUGCACAGGUGCUGCAUGGCUGUCG